GUUCGCUUACUAUACAAUACUAGUACUUCUUCACCUUUUUUCAACCCUUGAAAAGUAAAGCAUUAUCUCUCAAGUAGAAGAAAAAUAAUGACUUCCUUUGCCAUUCAAUCUAUAAUUUUGGGUAGUCCACUUAAGUUGUCACAAAAUAAAAAUGGGUUGAAUCAGUUUGUUCCUAGCUGUUACUUGCCACGCCUUCAUAGGACUUCGCGUGUUAGUGUUAAGUGUAUGGCUGAGGAGGGUGAGAAAGAGUCAUCGACCCCUUCAACUGAUUACUCUGCUACAGUUCCCAAGCCAACACCUGCUAAGCCAAAACCAAGCACCAAUUUCAUCGAUAUAUUCUCAUUCAGUGGUCCGGCACCUGAAAGGAUUAACGGUAGGCUAGCCAUGAUUGGAUUUGUAGCAGCCAUUGGUAUGGAGCUAGCUAAUGGUGCAGAUUUAUCUGCACAGUUAUCAAAUGGUGGAUUGUUAUGGUUCUUGGGGUCAAGUGCAUUGCUGACUUUGGCUUCACUAAUCCCAUUGUUCCAAGGAGUUACUGUCGAGUCUAAAUCUGAUGGGAUUAUGACUGCUGAUGCUGAGAUCUGGAAUGGAAGAUUUGCUAUGUUGGGAUUAGUUGCUUUAGCUUUUACUGAAUAUGUUAAGGGAGCUGGGCUUUUCCAAGUCUAAGUAAAUAUAUAAUGAGUAUAUAAAGUUUUUCAUUUUCACUUUUAAGUACUUAUUUGUUGGUCUGUUAUUUGAGUUUAGUAACUAUACCACAUCUCGUUGUUGCCUAAUUAACACAGAUACAAAUAUAUACUGUUCACUAAAUAUCAAUAACAAUUUCAAGCUGAUGUAAUAAUCUUUGUACCAUCGUGUAUCUUAUCA
rnacentral:misc_RNA from 1 species